UACGGAGGAUUCGAGCGUUAUCCGGAUUUAUUGGGUUUAAAGGGUGCGUAGGCGGGCAUUUAAGCCGGCGGUCAAAUGUCGGGGCUCAACCCCGGCCUGCCGUCGGAACUGGGUGCCUUGAGUGGGCGAGAAGUAUGCGGAAUGCGUGGUGUAGCGGUGAAAUGCAUAGAUAUCACGCAGAACCCCGAUUGCGAAGGCAGCAUACCGGUGCACAACUGACGCUCAGGCACGAAAGCGUGGGGAGCAAACAGG
rnacentral:rRNA from 1 species